rnacentral:rRNA from 1 species
AGAGUUUGAUCCUGGCUCAGGAUGAACGCUGGCGGUAUGCUUAACACAUGCAAGUCGAACGAAAGUAUUUAUACUUUAGUGGCGAACGGGUGCGUAAUACGUGAGAAUCUGCCCUUAGGAGGAGGAUAACUGCUGGAAACGGCUGCUAAUACUCCAUAUGUCGAGAGAUGAAAUAAUUUAUUGCCUAAGGAUGAGCUCACGCCUGAUUAGCUAGUUGGUGAGGUAAUGGCUCACCAAGGCCACGAUCAGUAGCUGGUUUGAGAGAACGAUCAGCCACACUGGGACUGAGACACGGCCCAGACUCCUCCGGGAGGCAGCAGUGAGGAAUUUUCCGCAAUGGGCGAAAGCCUGACGGAGCAAUACCGCGUGAGGGAUGAAGGAUUUUGGUCUGUAAACCUCUUUUCUCAAGAAAGAAGUUCUGACGGUACUUGAGGAAUAAGCAGCAGAUAAUCCGUGCACCAGCAGCGGUAAUCGGAGGAUCAACGCUAUCCGGAAUCAUUGGGCGUAAAGCGCCGGUAGGAUGUAAAUAAAUCUGUUGUUAAAGCCUAGGGAUUAACCCUAGAAAAGCAAUCAAACUAUUAGACCAGAGUAUGGUAGGGGUAGAGGGAACUUCUAGUGUAGCGGUGAAAUGCGUAGAUAUAAGAAAGAACACCGGCGGCGAAAGCGCCCUACUGAACCAUUACUGACAAUCAGAGGCGAAAGCUAGGGUAGCAAAAGGGAUUAGAUACCCCUGUAGUCCUAGCCGUAAACGAUGGAUACUAGAUGUUGUGCAUUAAGGACAGUAUCGUAGCUAACGCGUUAAGUAUCCCGCCUGGGGAGUACGCUCGCAAGGGUGAAACUCAAAGGAAUUGACGGGGGCCCGCACAAGCGGUGGAGCAUGUGGUUAAUUCGAUGCAACGCGAAGAACCUUACCAGGCUUGACAUACUACGAUCUUUUUGAGAAAAAAGAGUGCAUCGGAAUGUAGAUACAGGUGGUGCAUGCCUGUCGUCAGCUCGAGUCUGAAUGUGGAUAAGUCCCGCAACGAGCGCAACCCUUGUUUUUAGUUACCAACUUGUUGGGUUUUCUAGAAAGACUGCCGGCGACAAAUCGGAGGAAGCUGAGGAUGAUGUCAAGUCAGCAUGCCCCUUAUGUCCUGGGCUACACACGUGAUACAACGGCAGAGACAAAGCGUCGUUAGCUCGCGAGAGUAACAUAAUCGCAUAAACUAGGCAUAAGGUCAGAGGCUCGUCUGCAACUGGCAAACAUGAACCCGGCAGGGCUAGUAAUCUAUGAUCAGCCAUUCACAGCCGAAUCUGUUACCGGCCGGGCUACAUCCCGCCCGUCACUCCACGGGAGGCCGUCAUACCCGAUCCGAAGAGAGUAUCCAAUUCGAAGAGGACGUGUAAGGCAGGGCGCCAGAGUGGGGUGAAGUCCUGGCUCGGUAUCC